AUCUAUGGCCAUACCACCCUAAACGCGGCCGAUCUAGUCUGAUCUUGUGAAGCUAAGCAGGGUCGGGCCUGGUUAGUACUUGGAUGGGAGACCACCUGGGAAUACCAGGUGCUGUAGGCU
rnacentral:rRNA from 1 species